rnacentral:rRNA from 1 species
GACGAACGCUGGCGGCGUGCUUAACACAUGCAAGUCGAACGGAAAGGCCCUGCUUUUGUGGGGUGCUCGAGUGGCGAACGGGUGAGUAACACGUGAGUAACCUGCCCUUGACUUUGGGAUAACUUCGGGAAACUGGGGCUAAUACCGGAUAGGAGCUCCUGCUGCAUGGUGGGGGUUGGAAAGUUUCGGCGGUUGGGGAUGGACUCGCGGCUUAUCAGCUUGUUGGUGGGGUAGUGGCUUACCAAGGCUUUGACGGGUAGCCGGCCUGAGAGGGUGACCGGCCACAUUGGGACUGAGAUACGGCCCAGACUCCUACGGGAGGCAGCAGUGGGGAAUAUUGCACAAUGGGCGGAAGCCUGAUGCAGCAACGCCGCGUGCGGGAUGACGGCCUUCGGGUUGUAAACCGCUUUCACCUGUGACGAAGCGUGAGUGACGGUAAUGGGUAAAGAAGCACCGGCUAACUACGUG